UUGUGUUUGCAGAGCUGCACCUCCUCACCUCACAGGGCUUGUCUACAGUGCCCAGCCCAGCCCAGCACCCCUCACCCUCCCCGGGGGAGCCAGCAGGAGCUGGUGGUGGUGGCAAACCCAGGGCUCACACCCUGGCACGCUCAUCUCCUCUGCUCUUCAUGCCUUGAGCACAGCCAUGGGGAAAUGGGACUACAGGAGGCAGCAUCAUUCACCUGACCAAUCAACCCUGUUUAGGAAGAUCCAAAGUGCAGAAACUGGAGAAUGUUCCAGAGAACACCUGCUGCAAUGGCUGAGGUCACGAUUUCCAGCCCAGCAAGAAGAUAAAACUGCUGCCAGAGCCCAUGGCCAGACCUGCUUUGUGCAGAACCACACCACCUCAGCCUCUCUGCCAAGAAACUGGGGAAUUUUCCAGUUGCCAUUCUCCUCCUGGGAGGCAGAAAGUGGGGGAGUAAAGCUUACAUACCUUCAUGAAGAUCUGAGAGGCAUCAGGAGGGUUUUCAUGAGACACUGGAUGGAAGCAAAUGCUAUCAGAGUCCAAAUGUCCCAUUAAUUAUACCAGAAUCUCAUUCUGGGCAGAAGGGAAGUCCCAGCAGUCCUGCAACAGCCUUCUCAGACAAUGACUGAAAAAAAUGUUGCAGUUACUCAUUUUGAAAUGAGUUUUUGUAAGGGUUAGAUUUUUCUUGCAUGACAACACAUUGUGGGUACACAAUUAAAAAAUGAAGCCAUGA